GACGAACGCUGGCGGCGCGCUUAACACAUGCAAGUCGAGCGAGAACCCAGGCUUCGGCCUGGGGGAAAGCGGCGAACGGGUGAGUAACACGUGGGUAAUCUGCCCUCGGCAUCGGGAUAGCCCGGGGAAACCCGGAUUAAUACCGAAUGGCCCAGCAGCUCUUCGGGGCGGCUGGAAAAGGUAGCUUCGGCCUCCGGCCGAGGAGGAGCCCGCGGCGGAUUAGCUUGUUGGUGGGGUAACGGCCUACCAAGGCUCCGAUCCGUAGCUGGUCUGAGAGGACGAUCAGCACACUGGGACUGAGACACGGCCCAGACUCCUACGGGAGGCAGCAGUGGGGAAUCGUGCGCAAUGGGCGAAAGCCUGACGCAGCGACGCCGCGUGAGGGAAGAAGGCCUUCGGGUUGUAAACCUCUUUCAGGAGGGACGAAGCCACUCGGGUUAAUAGCCCAGAGGGUGACGGUACCUCCAGAAGAAGCCCCGGCUAACUACGUGCCAGCCGCCGCUGUAAUAC
rnacentral:rRNA from 1 species